CAAAAACAUAGCUACUAGCAUAUACUAGUAGUCACUUCUGCUCAAUGAAUUUUUAAAUAGCCGCAGUACCUUGACUGUGCAAAGGUAGCAUAAUCAAUUGGCUUAUAAUUGAAGUCUAGAAUGAAUGAAAAUAUGUAGGAUGACUGUAUCUAUAAUAUAUUUUGAAAUUAUUUAAUGGGUGCAAAUUCUCAUAUAUAAUUAAUAGACGAGAAGACCCUAGAAAUUUUAACGAAAAAGUUCAUUUUUGUUUUUGUUGGGGCAACAAAGUAACAGGUAAUUUACUUAAUAAACAAGAAAUUUGUUAGUAAGAUGAAAUUACUCUAGGGAUAACAGCGUAAUAUUAAAAUGUUUGCGACCUCGAUGUUGGAUUAGGAAGCGACGGCUUAGAAGGUCCGCAGUUGUGCUCUGUUCGA
rnacentral:rRNA from 1 species